rnacentral:misc_RNA from 1 species
AGGAAAUACGUGCGUCCACGUCGGCUUAAAUUUUUUCAGCCAUUGGAUAGUCUGUCAACGGCUGUGAAUGCAUCGCACGGCCAGCGACUGGAAGCUUCCCGUAGCAGCUACCACACAGUCAACCGGAUACUUCCAGGUCCUUGGACUCCUUGCAUAUCGGUCAGUUUGCCAUCAGAACAAGGAGAAAAAAAGGUUCCGGUCUUCAUCCCUUCCAUUUCCAAAGGACGACGCUCUCACCAUUCACGAACGGCGACUGCGGAUCGAUCGUGCGUCGUCUCCUGCGCCGGCCUCUCUUCAAGUCAGUUCCCAAGCAGCCCACAGAUUCUAUUGAUUGUGGGUGUCUUUCAGCAUCUGAGGGUUUCUACCAGUCCAGGUUACACACAAGCUUCAAAUUAUCGCAAAAUUCCUCUUACAUAUCUACAUCUCAUACCGGACCAGGUCUCAUACCGGACCAGAAAAAUGGAAUACACUUUAUUACCUGAUUUAGCACCGCAUAAGAUACAUGCAAAGAUUCAAGUACAUGUAUCUAGAAAGUGGCUUUUCCGAGGUGCUACUGAUAGUGGACCACUACAACAUGUUGAUAUGGUUUUGUCUGAUCGAGAGGGUAAUGCUAUUUAUGCUGAAAUCCCUGGAAAUUUAGCUGAACAAAAAGCAACAAAUAUUGAAGAAGGAGGAGUUUAUGAUAUCAACAGAUUCAGAGUGUGCGCAGCAAAAACUGUUUUCAAAAUAGUGGAUGGGGACAAAAUGAUCCAAUUCACAUUUCAUACCAUAGUAAAAUGUGCCACAAGCCCUCCAACAACAUUUCCAUUAUAUGUUUAUCGGCUAACAUCAUUUGAUCUAAUUGAGCCUCAUGUUCAAACUACAAAUAACUUUGUUGAUGUUCUUGGUGUCAUAACUGAAAUUCAUGAACUGACACCUGUGCAUGUCCGAAGUCAACUAACACCAACAGUGACAAGGACCAUUAUCAUAGAAGAUCUCAGGAAACAGGAUUUGAAUGUACUAUCACAAUAGCAGAAAUACCAGCUGAACACAAAUGGUGGUUUCCAUCUUGCACAAAAUGCAAUAAAGCAACAAUCCCUCACACUACAGGUUAUCACUGUGAAUCAUGCAAUUGGGAUGGAUACAAAUUUAAUGCAAACAAGAGUAAUAUCAAUAGCCCAGAAAAAGAUGAUGGCGAUAAGGAAACCGCACAGCUUGAUACAAUACCCACUAACAAAGGAAAAGGACCAGCAGAUACAAUUGAAUCGCCACCUAAAAGGUUCAAACAAGGGACGAUACGCAUCGGAAAAGAAAUGGACAUCAAAUCCUCCGAGAACUAAAGUUUCACUCAGAUCUUCGUCGACCUUUUGAGUUGCACAAUGUCUAUUUUGCAACAUAUGUAUAAUUAUAUAUGAUGACCUACUCAGCUCUUUGAAAACAAUUUAUGUAAAUAUAACAGCCUAAUUCUACGUAGUGGACAAAAAUGUUGACUCUGAUUACAGCUAAGGUAACUCUAUUUCAUAUAAACAUAUAACAUCUGCAGUAAUCAAAUUAGAAAAAAUUUCUAACGCGCGCAGGGCACGCGCCAGUGACUAGUGUAUAAGUAUUCCCUCUAUUCUAAAUUUAAGUUAUUUUGGCUCUCUAGAUACAAAACUCUUAUCGGACAUUUAGGUAUACAUCUAGGUAUACACUAUGUUUGGAUAUAUACUUUUAUAACAUAACUACUCC